ensembl:lncRNA
GGCACAUGGGCAGCUGUCUUACACCACGGCGCUUUCUCCGCAGCUGCUGAUGCUCGAUAGGCGGUGGAUUGUUGUUGAAAAUGUAUCCAUGCAUUAAAAACUUAUAGGAUACAGAGUUCUAUUCUAGACUGAAAAGAUAUUCAGUGAGACCAGAUUUAGGUGCACCGGGGCGCAAAGAAAGAGAGAGAGAAGGAGGAGGAAGGAAGGAGGACGUAGACAGAAUAACCGGGGUUGGCUGACCACAGAGGAAUUUUCCCUGCAGGCAUCAAGGCCCACAGCUGAUCGCAGCACAUGCUGUCCUGGAGUCAGCGAUGGAGCAGAAGCAUCUAAAAAAGACGAGGAAGAGAAGUGAGGACAACGGCAGAUGUCGACCGCCGCUGGUUCACGAGAGGGCAUGGGCGAACAAGAGACGGGUGCUUGUCCCCGAUUUCCAUUCCCUUCUUAGUGCUUCCUCAUUGAGAGAGAGAGAGAGAGACUCCCGCUUGACGGAGAGUCACUCUAUCAUCUCACCCUCAGACUUCUAUCUCACAUGUCUAUCUGCCGCGCCUUCCCCUCUGCACUCGGACAGCAAUAUAUAUGAUAAGAAUAUGCUAAUUAUAGCAAAGUGGACUAUAGUGGCCAAGGACGUCGGCCAUAAUAAACAGUUAUCAGCAUGACAUGGUUUCAUGUAUAGUGUUAGACUGAUGAAAUACUUGGCGGCGUCGUUUGACUGAGGAGAUAGUGGCUCCUAGGAAAGAAAAACUCAUGUGAGAGUGUGUGUGUGUGAUGACAUCCAUAUUCCCCUCUUUGUGUUUUUAUUUCUUUAUAGCUCCUCUUGUAUGUCAAUAAAAAUGAACCUUUCCCUGUGACAA